AAACCAUGAUAAGAGCACUGCCUUUGUAAAUCCUUAAACCUUUCUCAAGCUUCAUAUAAAGACUCGUUAUCCUUAUGGUAAAAAAUAGCGAUUUCAUUUCUCAAUUU